UACGUAGGGGGCGAGCGUUGUCCGGAGUUACUGGGCGUAAGCGCACGCAGGCGGUCUGGUAAGUUUGGAGUGACAGUGCCCGGCUCAACUGGGCAUGGCCUCUGAAGACUGCUGGACUUGAGGACCAGAGAGGGACAUAGAAUUCCGGGUGGAGUGGUGAAAUGCGUAGAUAUCCGGAGGAAUACCAAAGGCGAAGGCAGUGUCCUGGCUGGUAACUGACGCUCAGGUGCGAAAGCUAGGGGAGCGAACAGG
rnacentral:rRNA from 1 species